rnacentral:sRNA from 1 species
GAUGAUGCUGAUAACCUCCAGGAGUCCCUGUCGGAUAGUAGAGAGCUAGUCGAGGGGGAAAUGAAAGAGCUUCCGGAGCAGCUUCAGGAACAUGCUAUAGAGGACAAAGAAACUAUAAACAAUUUAGAUACUUCAUCAUCUGACUUCACUAUAUUACAGGAAAUUGAAGAGCCAUCCCUGGAGCCAGGUACUGUUAAAUGAAAAACUUACCAGCGGGGGUUUGGAACCAUUCUAGUUUUCCACCUUCUCUAAUUUGAAUUCUUUGAUUUUUAAAAGUUACCUUACUAUAGUAUACAUUGUUCUAAAGGUUUACAAUCCAAAACCUACCAGGAUCAUAGAGAUUGGAAACCCAGCCAUAUCACCAGAUCUGUGAAAGUGGCUCACUUCUCAUUUUACAAAAUGUAUUGGUGAGAUGAAAGUAUCUCAUGCCUUUUUGAAUAUCAACAGCAUUGAAUCAUACAUAGAGAAAGAGUUCCGGAUGCCUCUCUUGAGAGCUAAUACCUCUGCACCCACAAAACAGAUCUUGUGAUAUUGGGCAGUAGCUUAAU